rnacentral:rRNA from 1 species
GUACACGCUGUGACUAGCAUAUCAAUAAGCGGAGGAAAAGAAACUAACAAGGAUUCCCCUAGUAACGGCGAGUGAAGCGGGAAGAGCUCAAAUUUGAAAUCUUAAAGGGUUUCCCUUUACGAAUUGUAGUUUAAAGAAGUGUUUUCUGUGGAGGUUUUGGUAAAAGUUCUUUGGAAUAGGACAUCAUAGAGGGUGAGAAUCCCGUAUUUGACCUUUACUUUCAACUUUGUGAUACACUUUCAAAGAGUCGGAUUGUUUGGGAAUGCAGUCCAAAAUGGGUGGUAAAUUUCAUCUAAAGCUAAAUAUUGGCGAGAGACCGAUAGCGAACAAGUACCGUGAGGGAAAGAUGAAAAGAACUUUGAAAAGAGAGUUAAACAGUACGUGAAAUUGUCAAAAGGGAAGCGUUUGACACCAGUGUUGUUUUUCUGAAAAUCAAUUAAAGAACUGUUUAUGCUAAGCUGUUUAGACUUUAUCAGCUAUCUGUUUAGUUUUGAGCUUUUCUUUAAUGCACUUUUCAGUUAACAAGUCAACAUCAAUUUCUUUUGCUGUAAAAAAGCUUGAGGAAGGUGGCUUGAGAUUCGUCUUAAGUGUUUAUAGCCUCUUGCCUAUGCAGUCGGAGAGAUUGAGGUCUGCAGCGUAGAUCCUUCGGGGCUAAAUGCAUUUGUGCUAAGUUAUAGCAUUUUAUAGACAACUUGUUGACUAUGAUUUGUCUUGUAGCUUACUCGCUUAUGUUAUUUUACCUACGCUUAGGAUGUUGACUGAUAUGUAGUCGUA